rnacentral:rRNA from 1 species
UACGGAGGGUGCGAGCGUUGUCCGGAAUCACUGGGCGUAAAGGGCGCGUAGGCGGCGCGAGCAGUCAACGGUGAAAGCUCAGGGCUCAACCCUGAGUCGGCCGUCGAUACUCUCGCGCUGGAGCACUGUAGAGGCAGGUGGAAUUCCGGGUGUAGCGGUGGAAUGCGUAGAGAUCCGGAAGAACACCGGUGGCGAAGGCGGCCUGCUGGGCAGUAGCUGACGCUGAUGCGCGACAGCGUGGGGAGCAAACAGG